AAUGUUUAUUGUUAGUGUUUUUAAGUUUGUUGGGCUUCCCAUUCACCCGAGCUCUAUGUUCGAAGGAUGGGAGAGUAAAAGAGAGGAGAAUAAGGGAAAAAGUGACCAAAAUAAACUAUAAAGUUAAAUAGUAACUAAACAAAAUGAAACAAAUUAGUCAGAAAACUCAAAAUACCUAGCUGCUGCACUCCAAGUUUACAAAGUACAAUAGUGGUUUCUGUGACAAUGAUUUGCUUGCCAUUAUUUUAACAAAAACCAAAACCUCUAUAAUGGCUAUUCACAAAAAUUAAAGCCAUUAGAAAAGGAAAUCAAGGAAGAUGAUUGUCCAUUUCAGGGGGUAUAAUUUCUGGCUCAUGAUGUGCCCCAAGCUUUAGAAUUAUGGAAUAAAAUCCGCUAUAAUUUUUAGAGUAAUUCUGUGGAUUAUAUAAACUAUAUUUAUUUAUUGAGAAAUUAGUUUGUUGAAACUUACAUUUAGGAGAAAAACAAUUCCUAUUUGAAACUUGAAAGAUAGAGAAUGGGAAGGGGGAAAUGAAAAUGAAGGCAGAUGAAAGUUUUCCCCUAUUAUUAUUUUUUGAAAUGGUUAGAAAUCUCUUAAGCUUUAGACCAAUUGGGUCAUUGGCAUUUUACACUAUUUCCAGCGCUGCUUGUAUUGUAUCUUGUUCAAUCUUUUUGAUUAUUGAUAAUAUGGCCUACUUUUUUCAUUUCUCUCAUUAGUAGGGACCAUAUUCAUCUAUUUGGGCUUCUGUUGAUUCAAGAUGAACUAGCAAACGCUAUAAUAUAUUGCAAACAUUAAUAUAGAUUCUGUUUUAUUACUUCUUAGUCCCUCUUGUGGAAGUUUCUCUUUGAAGUUUGAUAUGCAUAAGGUAAUUGCUUUAUGUUAGUUUUGAAUGCAGCUUGGUUGAUGAUUUUUGCCUAACUGAACUUUUUGAAUGUCAGAAAAAGCGUGGUGCUAGAAAGACCGUACUGGUGAAGAAGAAACAUGGCAACUAUCACGUUUUUACCCCACGAUUGAGGAACUUAUUGAAAAACUUCACAAAGGUGAACUGUCAAAAGAUGAUUACCCAUGUUUGAAUGACCCGAGUCAAACUUUUCAUGGGACGUCUCAGACUGCUGCAAUAAAUCAUGCUUCAAUUGCUAAUCCAGCUCAAUCAAAGCAGACACAUAAAUGGGCUCGGCCUCGGAACUCUAAUGAUGGGUAUUCAAGUGAUUCAAUUCUAAGACAUGCAUCUAGCGAUUUCUAGAAGAUGGGCCAACGGAUUUUUGUAUUCAUCAUUGGUGGAGCUACUAGAUCUGAGAGUUUGUCACAAGCUUACAACUAAAUUGAAGAGGGAAGUUGUUCUGGGCUCAUCAAGUAUUGAUGAUCCUCCACAAUUUAUUACAGUGAUUAAUUUCAGUUCCAUUUUUGAUUUAGCAACUCCACCUCUUAUUUUCCCGACCAACUAAACCUUAAAAAUUCAUUUUUGAUUGCAAAAAUUGAAGAUGCUGAUAGCACAUGAGCUUUCAAUAAAUGGUCUCCAGAUCUAAAACAUGGGGGUGGCUUUAGGAGGCCCAGUGUUUUCUAUACUCCGGUCCUCAAUCCAAUUUGUAACCAUAGAUAACAUCAUUUCAUUGUAUCCAUUUUUUAACAUUCAAUAUAGAACCAUUCAUUUGGCAAUGGCAGUGGUUCUGUAUCUUUUCAUAUUUCAGAUGAGCAUCUCCCUAGCCUAGCCUCUUGCUUUUUGGCUUUGUAGUGUAAUUGACAUGGUUUUGCCAUUA